GAUGAAGAACGCAGCGAAAUACGAUAAUUAAUGUGAAUUGCAGAAUUCCGUGAAUCAUCGAGUCUUUGAACGCACAUUGCGCCUCAUGGCAUUCCGUGAGGCAUGCCCAUCUCAGCGUUAGAAAAUAUUCUCAAAUUUUAGUUUUGUGCUAAAAUUUGGAUCAUGUCAAGGAAGCUAUUACUAUUAUUGUGAUCGCUCUUUGGAAAUUGAUAGGUCUUUGAGUUGCUACUCAUAGAACGUGAUGAAUCUUUCUUCGUUCUAUUGUAAUUCACUCUGGUAGUCCUAAAACUUGUAUGCCUGUGGCAUAUCUUGUAAUUUGACCUGAGAUUGGGUAGGGAUACCCGCUGAACUUAAGCAUAUCAAUAAGCGGAUGA
rnacentral:misc_RNA from 1 species